rnacentral:rRNA from 1 species
CCUACGGGUGGCAGCAGUGGGGAAUUUUGCGCAAUGCUCGAAAGCGUGACGCAGCGACGCAGCGUGAAUGACGAAGGCCUUCGGGUCGUAAAGUUCUUUCGACAGGGAAGAAAAUGCCUAUAAGUAACUGUGUAUGUAUUGACGGUACCUGUAUAGGCAGCCCCGGCUAACUCCGUGCCAGCAGCCGCGGUAAUACGGAGGGGGCGAGCGUUGUUCGGAGUGACUGGGCGUAAAGAGCACGUAGGCGGUGUUGUAAGUCAUUAGUUAAAGACUAGAGCUCAACUUUAGUAAGGCUAGUGAUACUAUAAUACUAGAGUAUCAGAGAGGAUAGCAGAAUUCCUGGUGUAGCGGUGAAAUGCGUAGAUAUCAGGAGGAAUACCGUUAGCGAAGGCGGCAAUCUGGCUGGAAACUGACGCUGAGGUGCGAAAGCGUGGGUAGCAAACAGGAUUAGAUACCCCAGUAGUC